GUAGAGGGUUACCAUAAAAACUCUGCAUCCUUCCUGAACGCUUAGACCAGUGCGACAUGGCUGUCGUCAGCUCGUGUCGUGAGAUGUUGGGUUAAGUCCCGCAACGAGCGCAACCCACGUUUUUAGAUGCCAGCAUUCAGUGGGGCGCUCUCUAGAGACCGUCCGGGAUAAAAACGAGGAAGGUGUGGAGGUCAUCAAGUCACCUUGCCCCUUACAUCCUGGGCUAUUACACACUACAAUGUGUCGGACAAAGGGCAGCAAACUCGCGAGAGAUAGCAAAUCUCUUAAACCGUGGCUCAGUUCAGAUUGAAGGCUGCAACUCUCCUGCCUGAAGGAGGAAUCUCUCUUAAUCUCAGGUCAACAUACUGCGGUGAAUACAUUCCCCGGGCUUGUACACACCGAGA
rnacentral:rRNA from 1 species